CGGACGGGUGAGUAAUGUAUGGGGAUCUGCCUGAUGGCGGGGGAUAACUACUGGAAACGGUAGCUAAUACCGCAUAAUGUCUACGGACCAAAGCGGGGGACCUCCGGGCCUCGCGCCAUCAGAUGAACCCAUAUGGGAUUGGCUAGUAGGUAAGGUAACGGCUUACCUAGGCGACGAUCCCUAGCUGGUCUGAGAGGAUGAUCAGCCACACUGGGACUGAGACACGGCCCAG
rnacentral:rRNA from 1 species